AAGCGGCAAAAGCUCAAAUUUGAAAUCUGGCGUCUUCGGCGUCCGAGUUGUAAUUUGAAGAAGGGUGCUUUGGGGUUGGCUCUUGUCUAUGUUCCUUGGAACAGGACGUCACAGAGGGUGAGAAUCCCGUGCGAUGAGAGUCCCAAUUCCGUGUAAAGCUCCUUCGAAGAGUCGAGUUGUUUGGGAAUGCAGCUCUAAGUGGGUGGUAAAUUCCAUCUAAAGCUAAAUAUUGGCGAGAGACCGAUAGCGAACAAGUACAGUGAUGGAAAGAUGAAAAGAACUUUGAAAAGAGAGUGAAAAAGUACGUGAAAUUGUUGAAAGGGAAGGGCUUGAGAUCAGACUUGGUAUUUUGUAUGUCUUGCUUUCGGGCGGGGCCUCUGCAGCUUACUGGGCCAGCAUCGGUUUGGGUGGCAGGACAAUUGCGGAGGAACGUGGCACUGCUUCGGUGGUGUGUUAUAGCCUCUAUCGAUACUGCCUGCCUAGACCGAGGACUGCGUC
rnacentral:rRNA from 1 species